UACGGAGGGUGAAGCGUUAAUCGGAAUUACUGGGCGUAAAGCGCGCGUAGGUGGUUUGAUAAGCGAGAUGUGAAAAGCCCCCCGGGGCUUAACCUGGGGAACGGCAUUUCGAACUGUCAGGCUAGAGUAUGGUAGAGGAGUGUGGAAUUUCCUGUGUAGCGGUGAAAUGCGUAGAUAUAGGAAGGAACACCAGUGGCGAAGGCGGCACUCUGGACCAAUACUGACACUGAGGUGCGAAAGCGUGGGGAGCAAACAGGAUUAGAUACCCCUGUAGUCC
rnacentral:rRNA from 1 species